UCUACCUAGAGGGUUUCUGUCGAUCAAGGGCGAGAGUAGGAGUAUCCAACAGGAUUAGAGACCCUGGUAGUUCCUACCUUAAACGAUGCCGACAGGAGUUUGUCAUUUGUUAAUGGCAGAAUCUUUGGAGAAAUCAUAGUUCUUGGGCUCUGGGGGAACUACGACCGCAAGGCUGAAACUUGAAGGAAUUGACGGAAGGGCACACCAGGGGUGGAGCCUGUGGCUUAAUUUGAAUCAACACGGGGAAACUUACCAGGACCAGAUGUUUUUUAUGACUGACAGGCUUCGGGUCUUUCAGGAUAUUGUUUUUGGUGGUGCAUGGCCGUUGGUGGUGCGUGGGUUGACCUGUCUAGCGUUGAUUCAGCUAACGAGCGAGAUUAUCGCCAAUUAUUUACUUUGCCGAAGUCCUUCGGUUAAAGUUCUAAUUGGGACUCCCUGCGAUUUUAGCAGGUGGAAGAGGGUAGCAAUAACAGGUCCGUGAUGCCCUUUAGAUGCUCUGGGCUGCACGCGUGCUACAAUGUUAGGAUCAAUAGGACUGCGAGCCUGAGAGGGUGCGCUACUCUUAUAAUCCCUAACGUAGUUGGGAUUGACGUUUGUAAUCAGCGUCAUGAACCAGGAAUCCCUUGUAAAUGUGUGUCAACAACGCACGUUGAAUACGUCCCUGCCCUUUGUACACACCGCCCGUCGCUCCUACCGAUUGGAUGACUCGGUGAAAUCACCGGAUGCUUACGAGCAGAAAGUGAUUAAAUCACGUUAUCUAGAGGAAGGAGAAGUCGUAACAAGGUAACGGUAGGUGAACCUGCCGUUGGAUC
rnacentral:rRNA from 1 species